rnacentral:misc_RNA from 1 species
GAUGAAGAACGUAGCGAAAUGCGAUAAGUAAUGCGAAUUGCAGAAUUUCCGUGAGUCAUCGAAUCUUUGAACGCACAUUGCGCCCACUGGUAUUCCGGUGGGCAUGCCUGUUCGAGCGUCAUUAUCCUCCCUCAAACCCCGGGUUUGGUGUUGGACCCAAGUUGUGUGAACAACUGGUCUCAAAGACAAUGACGGCGUCCGUGGGACCCUCGGUGCAACGAGCUUUUAGGAGCACGCAUCGAGUUGCAAGGCCCUUCCGGGCCGGUCUCCUUUACCAUUUUACAAGGUUGACCUCGGAUCAGGUAGGAAUACCCGCUGAACUUAAGCAUAUCAAUAAGCGGAGGA